rnacentral:rRNA from 1 species
UGAACGCUGGCGGCGUGCCUCAUACAUGCAAGUCGAGCGAACAGACGAGGAGCUUGCUCCUCUGACGUUAGCGGCGGACGGGUGAGUAACACGUGGAUAACCUACCUAUAAGACUGGGAUAACUUCGGGAAACCGGAGCUAAUACCGGAUAAUAUAUUGAACCGCAUGGUUCAAUAGUGAAAGACGGUUUUGCUGUCACUUAUAGAUGGAUCCGCGCCGCAUUAGCUAGUUGGUAAGGUAACGGCUUACCAAGGCAACGAUGCGUAGCCGACCUGAGAGGGUGAUCGGCCACACUGGAACUGAGACACGGUCCAGACUCCUACGGGAGGCAGCAGUAGGGAAUCUUCCGCAAUGGGCGAAAGCCUGACGGAGCAGCGCCGCGUGAGUGAUGAAGGUCUUCGGAUCGUAAAACUCUGUUAUUAGGGAAGAACAAAUGUGUAAGUAACUAUGCACGUCUUGACGGUACCUAAUCAGAAAGCCACGGCUAACUACGUG